UACGGGGGGAGCAAGCGUUGUUCGGAUUUACUGGGCGUAAAGGGCGCGUAGGCGGUCGUGACAAGUCACUUGUGAAAUCUCCGGGCUUAACUCGGAACGGUCAAGUGAUACUGUCGGACUAGAGUGCAGAAGGGGCAACUGGAAUUCUCGGUGUAGCGGUGAAAUGCGUAGAUAUCAAGAGGAACACCUGCGGCGAAGGCGGGUUGCUGGGCUGAUACUGACGCUGAGGCGCGAAAGCCAGGGGAGCGAACGGG
rnacentral:rRNA from 1 species